rnacentral:rRNA from 1 species
UUUGACUAUAGAGUGUAUAUUUUAUAAGCUCCCGAAGUAAGAAGAUCUAAUUAUUUAUAUUUUUAUUUAGAUAUAAGAUUCAUGUACAUAGUGUAGCAUAACUAUUAUAAAAAAAGUAAUUAGUGGUGAAAGGCUAUUCAAUUCUUACUGAUAUCUGGAUUAAAUCAAAAAAUAUUUAGUAUUAUAAGGACAUUUUUACAACACUAAGAUUGUAAAAUUUAAAGAGCUUGUAUGUUUCAACAGUUAGAUACAUUAUUAAUAUAAGUGUAUGAAUAGCUAUAAAAAAUAUCAUUACAGUAUGACUUUUACAUUAUAGAUUUAUAGGUUUAUUAAUUCUUUCUGUAGAAUUUUAAUAGUGUUUGAAUGAGUAUAUGUAGUAUGAGAUUAUAAGGAACUCGGCAAAUUUUUCCCUCAACUGUUUAUCAAAAACAUAGCUAGUUGUAUUACAUAAUUAGUAGUUCUCUGCCCGGUGAUGAUUUUUAACGGCCGCAGUACACUGACUGUGCAAAGGUAGCGUAAUAAUUUGGCCUUUAAAUGAGGUCGAGUAUGAAUGAGUGAAUGGGGGAAUGCUGUCUUAUAAUUUUUAUUUAAAAUUUACUUAAGGAAGUGAAAAUUCUUCUGGUUUAACUAAAAGACGAGAAGACCCUAAAAAUUUUUACUAAAGGGGCAAAUGAAUUCUUUUUAUGUUUUUGUUGGGGCAACAGGUUACUAAUAUAAAAGUAACUUAUAGAUAAUAUAUUAUUUUAACGAGUUUUACUAAUAAUAAUUAAAAUUACUUUAGGGAUAACAGCAUAAUUUUAUAAAAAAGAUUGUGACCUCGAUGUUGGAUUAGGUGUUAUUUAAGUUAACCAUUUAAAUAGCUGGUUCUGUUCGAACUUUAGUUACCU